rnacentral:tRNA from 1 species
GGGAAGGUGGCUUAGCAGAAGAGUGCUUGCCUUGCAUGCAUGAGGCCCUGGGUUCAAUUCCCCAUACCA